GAAAAAUCUGCUCUGUACAGUUGAAGCCGAUGAAGCAUUGUACGGAGC
rnacentral:ncRNA from 1 species